GAUGAACGCUGGCGGCGUGCCUAAUACAUGCAAGUCGAGCGAACAGACGAGGAGCUUGCUCCUCUGACGUUAGCGGCGGACGGGUGAGUAACACGUGGAUAACCUACCUAUAAGACUGGGAUAACUUCGGGAAACCGGAGCUAAUACCGGAUAAUAUAUUGAACCGCAUGGUGCAAUAGUGAAAGACUGUUUUGCUGACGCUUAUAGAUUGAUCCUCGCCGCAUUAGCUAGUUGGUAAGGUAACGGCUUACCAAGGCAACGAUGCGUAUCCGACCUGAGAGGGUGAUCGGCCACACUGGAACUGAGACACGGUCAAGACUCCUACGGGAGGCAGCAGUAGGGAAUCUUGCACAAUGGGCGAAAGCCUGAUGGAGAAAAGCCGCGUGAGUGAUGAAGGUCUUCGGAUCGUAAAGCUCUGUUAUUAGGGAAGAAAAAAUGUGUAAGUAACUAUGCAGGUCUUGACGGUACCUAAUCAGAAAGCCACGGCUAACUACGUG
rnacentral:rRNA from 1 species